rnacentral:rRNA from 1 species
CCUACGGGCGGCAGCAGUGAGGAAUAUUGGUCAAUGGGCUUACGCCUGAACCAGCCAAGUCGCGUGAGGGAAGACUGCCCUAUGGGUUGUAAACCUCUUUUGUCAGGGAGCAACGCCGGCUACGUGUCGCCGGACUGAGAGUACCUGAAGAAAAAGCAUCGGCUAACUCCGUGCCAGCAGCCGCGUUAAUACGGAGGAUGCGAGCGUUAUCCGGAUUGAUUGGGUUUAACGGGUGCGUAGGCGGAAUGCCAAGUCAGCGGUAAAAUGGCGGGGCUCAACCUCGCUCCGCCGUUGAACCUGGCGUUCUUGAGUGGGCGAGAAGUAUGCGGAAUGCGUGGUGUAGCGGUGAAAUGCAUAGAUAUCACGCAGAACUCCGAUUGCGAAGGCAGCAUACCGGCGCCCAACUGACGCUGAAGCACGAAAGCGUGGGUAUCGAACAGGAUUAGAUACCCGAGUAGUC